AUACGAAAGGUGCAAGCGUUGUUCGGAUUUACUGGGCGUGAAGAGAUCGUAGGUGGUUUAUUAAGUCGGAUGUGAAAUCCCGGGGCUCAACCCCGGAACUGCAUUCGAUACUGAUAGGCUAGAGUUUGGGAGGGGUAAGCGGAAUUCCGUGUGUAGCAGUGAAAUGCGUAGAUAUACGGAGGAACACCUGAGGCGAAGGCGGCUUACUGGACCAAUACUGACACUGAGGAUCGAAAGCGUGGGUAGCAAACAGGAUUAGAUACCCUAGUAGUCC
rnacentral:rRNA from 1 species